rnacentral:tRNA from 1 species
GCCCAGGUGGCGGAAUGGUAGACGCGCCAGCUUCAGGUGCUGGUGUCCGUAAGGACGUGGAAGUUCGAGUCUUCUCCUGGGCACCA